UUAAUAGAAACCAAAAAGAGGUAUUCCACUGUUAAUGGAAAAAUUGAAAUAACUUCCUAUUAAG
rnacentral:tRNA from 1 species